rnacentral:rRNA from 1 species
UCCUACGGGAGGCAGCAGUGGGGAAUAUUGCACAAUGGGCGCAAGCCUGAUGCAGCCAUGCCGCGUGUAUGAAGAAGGCCUUCGGGUUGUAAAGUACUUUCAGCGAGGAGGAAGGCGUUAAGGGUAAUAACCCCAGCGAUGACGUACUCGCAGA